CUGGCCGCCUCAGCCCUCCCCAGCGUGGGUCCCGCGGACUCUGGCUGCCCGCCCCCCCCCCCCAGAGGCCGGUGGGCUGUGCGUUCCCCAGGCGUUCCCAGGCCAGCUGCUGGCUCCGCUUCCCGCUUAGAGCCACCCUGGCCACGCGGACGCGGCCACCCAGGGUUCGCCGCGGGCCGGCGGCGGGGGCCAGCAGGAGGCAGCGGGGGCAGGCAGAGGGCAGGAGCGGGGCACGCGGGACGGACGGACGGACGGACGCUGCCACAGGACUCAGGAUCACCGGCAUCUUCCCGCCUUCGGGCCGUCCCGGCCCCUCCCGGGCGGGGCCAAUUCCCACAGUGGGCUUGGGUAGGAAGGAGCCGGCCGGGCUGCCCCGCCGAGAGGCGCAGCCCCCGCCCGCCCUAUCCCCUCGAGCUCCGCCCUGCUCUCGACUCUCCGGACUUGGACAUGGCUGGAGAGCCCGGGCCGGGCCCUGCGCACCCGGGCCUCAAGCGGCCUCAGGGCACUGCCAGCCCCUGUACGAGUGAUUAUGACCUGGACCAUAAGCUGUACAGGGAAAAUGUCCCCUACAGUAGGGUGUAUGAAUACCAAAGGAUCCCUCCACUCAUCAACCGCGUGCCUGUCAGGAUCCGGAGGACCCAGGUGGGCAUGGGGGUCAAAAGCAGCUUCCGUCUUCACACGGGCCCCAGGAAGAGCCACCUGCCCCGGGAGCAAAUAAAGCGGUCAGAGGACAGUGAAGAAAACAGAGGUCCAGAACUCCAGCAGGAGCCCCAGGGCCAGAAGGCCCAUCCAGAAGCAGACAGCUCUGAGGACAGCACAGACCCAAAGGAGGCAGUGAAGAAUCCUGCAUCGGACCAGGAGGGCAGCCAGUAGAAUGGUGGAACCCCUCUGGGCUCCUUCCUGGAUGGCUCCCUUCCUUGCCUCGUGUGGGUUUUUGAAGGCCUCCUGGAGGUGCCUGUGCAGCCCGAAGCCACCCUUCUGGAAGGAGUGCAGUGAAGUGGGGGCCUGGCUCAGCCAAACUAGCCAUGAAGCUUCUCCGUAAUGGUGGCUUUUGGAGGUCACGUUUUCCGAUGAUACGGGCUGAGGGUGGCCUGCAGCUGCCUAGCAUAAGCCUCCCAUCCUCAUGAAGCUGAGGCCGUCUUGCAAGGGGCCCCAGGUCCCCCUGGGUACACAUCAGCCCCCAGUGACCACAGGUACCGUAGUGGCUGCUCCCCACUCCGAAGGGCCCUGCCAGUUCUGAGUAGGCAGCCAGCACAGUUCCCUCCAGCCACAGUGGCAUACCGGAAACCCUCAUGUUCCUACGGUCCCCCUUCCAGUCUGCACCUGGGCUUUCAGCUCCUCAGUGUGCCCCACAUAAUCCCCUUUGGUUCCAGACUCCCCAUCCACCCUGUAAAGCCAUCCUUCAGAAUAGGGACAUCAUUUUUAUGUUCUGCUCCUGUCUAGUCUCUUGCUAGUGUGAUACUAUGUGUUUCAGAUCUGCUCUGGAAAUAGUAUUGUAUCAAAAGGGAGAAAAUGGGGAUCCCUGGGUGGCGCAGCGGUUUGGCGCCUGCCUUUGGCCCAGGGCGCGAUCCCGGAGACCCGGGAUCGAAUCCCACAUCGGGUUCCCGGUGCAUGGAGCCUGCUUCUCCCUCUGCCUGUGUCUCUGCCUCUCUCUCUCUCUCUGUGACUAUCAUAAAUAAAUAAAAAUUAAAAAAAAAAAAAAAAAAAAAAAAAAAACAAAAGGGAGAAAAUGCACAACAUUUUCCCCCCUUUUGGGGGUCAGGGGUUCUUGGUAGGGUCAUCAAGCCUCAUUCUGGUCUUUGGGCUGCCUCAGGCCAGGCCUUCCUGGAGAAGCUGAGCAGGCCCCUGCAUCACAGAAGUUCAGCAGUUCCUACUCAGCCAGGGCACAGAAGAGGGGACCAGGCUUCCCUGCCUUCUUCCAAUUCAGACCUGAGCACAAACCCACAGAGCUCAUGAGCCACAUAGGGAAGAUCCUGCUCUUGUGGUCACUCAGGCCAGUUCUCCAUAUGGAAUGAUGGCCAGGCCACAUCUGACUUCCCAACAACCAGCAGCUCUUACUCCUGGAAGUUCAUCUGCCCUUUCCCAGGAGGCAAGACUGGACCAGGGGCACCAAAUAAUAAAGCCAACCUGGUGCAGCACCUGGGCUCAGUCGGUUAGGCAUCAGAUUCUGAUUUUGGCUCAGGUCAUGAUCUCAGGAUCAUGAGAUCAAGCCCAGCAUCAGGCUCUGCGCUCAACAUGGAGUCUGUGUGGAAUUUUCUCUCUUCUUCCCCACUGUCAACCCCCUUGCAUGCCUCUAAAUUAAAAAAAAAAAAAAAAAAAAAAAAGGCAGCCUGGACCCCUACUUCUUAGCAGCAGUGGGGGAGGCCUCUAGCUUCCACCCAGAGCCAAACCCCUUCCACCUACCCAAACCUGAGCUGUGGUCUUGCCCAGCACCAAACCAGAGGCCACAGAGUACACCCAGAGUGCUCCUGGGCCCACACAACCUUCCCUACUGUUGUCACCUUGGCAAUGGCCAACUCUGCUACUCUAGGGGCACCUUCACCUCCUUCAAAGCACAUUUCCCCACACCAACUCCUGCACCUCCUUUAGUUUCAGCCAGUCUUUUCUGCUUAUGUUGGUCUAAGGAACAGGACACAUUUAAGACAAUGCUGUCCCCAACCCCUUGACACCAGGAGUCGACUACAGGGCACAAAAGAACCUUGUUCUUUUAAAUUCACUACCGAGAUGAACCACGAUAGACUUUUCCAGAUAUAGAGGAGUUUGUUUUAGCUCAGAUAUAAAUGAGAAGGCACAGCCCCCUUGUCCAUUCUCUCAAAAGCAGCCCAAGUCUAUAGAAGGGAGUCACUAGCUGGCCUGCACAGGGUCCAUCCCUUACAACAGUUCCAAGUCCCGUCCUCCAGAUGAGUCCAGCUGAAGUCCUUCCCAACCUGGGAGGCAAGCUGCAUUCGCAAGUUUCUUCACCUGGGUCGUAGCUGGGAAGCACCUGCUCAAGUAGAAACGUUUCUUUAACAGAAGUCUCUAAAGAGCCGUCCCAACACAGCCGUCCGACGCUGUGCACGCCCCGUCGGAUCCUCUCCCGCCCGGAGUUCUCCGCGCCGCGCAGUCUGGCAGCGGACGGCAAGGGUCCUUCGGGGGACGGGGGCAGCUCGGUCCUCGGCGUCCG
rnacentral:lncRNA from 1 species